rnacentral:lncRNA from 1 species
GAGGGGUAAGCGCCAGGUUGUGGGAGCAACUAGGAGGGAUAUGUGGUUGGGCAGGUAAGUUUCCCUGACAAGACUAAUGAGGUGUGGGGUACCUGGCUGGCUCAGUUGAUGGAGCAUGCAAUUCUUGACGUCAGGACUGUAGGUUCCUGCCCAUUUUUGGGUAUAGAGAUUACUUAAAAAAAAGAAAAAAGAAAAAGAACAAUCAAGUGUUGGCUACACAGGGCAGGGGGUGGGCAUGGUGUAUGUGUUCUAUGCAGGAGGAACUUCCACUUCAAACAUCUGGAUGCUGGAGAGGCCUAGGCUUUUGGGGGACUGAUUUACAACCUAGAUUUUUAUACCUAGCAAAACUACUGGUCAAACCGUGAAGAGAACAAAAGGCAAGAUAUAUGCUGGGGCGCCUGGGUGGCUCAGUUGUUGAGUGUCAGCCUUUGGCUCAGGGCGUGAUCCGUGUUCUGGGAUCGAGCCCCGCAUCAGGCUCCUCUGCUGGGAGCCUCCUUCUUCCUCUCCCACUCCCCCUGCUUCUCUCUCUCUCACUGGCUGUCUCUGUGUCAAAUAAAUAAAUAAAAUCUUAAAAAAAAAAAAAGAUAUAUGCUGAAAUGGAAGGUUUCAAAAAAUUUACCUCCCAUGUAUCUCUUCCCAGGAAUCGAGUGGAGGACCUGCACCACCAAAAUCAAGGAGUAAAUCAAGAGAGCAGACAACAUGGGAAUAACUGCAUGAAAUUCGGUUUUGCUUUUCAGAGUUCUGGUUACUCAUGGUCAACUGAAGGUCGAAUUUCAGAAGCAGAUGACCCUCCUGAAGAAUCUGCAGAAGGUCGGAGUAGCCUGAUGCUAUGUCACGGUGCCUGUGGCGUUCACCUCACUCGUCUCAUCCUGGAGGCACUUCAUCAUCUCCCUUUGUCACAGAAAGAAAGGUGAGUACAGUUCAUAGGGUAUUUUGACAGAGGGGGAGAGACCACAUUCACCUAACUUUUAUUACAGUAUAUUGUUAUAAUUGUUCUAUUUUAUUAUUGGUUGCUAUUGUUAAUCUGUUACUGUGCCAGAUUCUUAAGUUAAAAUUUAUUGUAGGUAUGUAUGUAUAGGAAAAAACAUGGUGUAUAUAGGGCUUGGAAUGAUCCAUGGUUUCUGGCAUCCACUGGGGACCUUGGAAUGUACUGCCUGUGGCUAAGGGGGGUCUACUACUAUGACAAUGGCCAGCACACAUACAGUGCUUACUCUACACACUAUCCUUCGUGCUUUGCAUAUUGUAUAAUAUUUACAUAUUUACAGUAUGAACUCAUUCAAUCUUCACAGUAGUCCUUUGGUUACUAUUAGAAUAUUUUUAUAAGGGUGCCUGGGUGGCUCAUUCCGUUAAGUGUCUGUCUUCAGCUUAGGUAGGCCAUGAUCUCAGGGCCCUGGGAUUGAGCCCUGCAUCCGGCUCCCUGCUCAGUAGGGAGUCUGCCUCUCCCUCUCCCUUUGCCUUUUCCCCCCGUUCAUGCUCUGUCUCUGUGUCUCUCAAAUAAAUAAAUAAAUAAAAUCUUUAAAAAGGGAAAGAAAAAUAAUAUUUUUAUAGAUGGGGAAAGAGAUAUUAAGUGAUUUGCGUAAGAUCACAUAGCUAGUAAGUGUGGGAACUGGACUUCAAGCUGGCAGGCCCCAAGGUCUAGAACCACCACACACAUGCCUAUAACUCCAGAUAAAAAAAGAAAGAUGCCAUUGAGUUAUUCUUAAGUGAAAAAUUCAAGUACCAGGGAGUGUGAUCUUAUUUGUGUAAAAAUAAUUGUGUGUGUGUAUGUGCUCACACAUGCAUGCACAUGUGAAUACAUCACAUGUAUAUGUAAAAUUGAAGGUGUGAGAGAAUAUAUAUCCAAACAGCAGUUCCCUCCAGGGAAGGAUAGGAGAUGGGGUGUGUAAAGAGGAUAUAUUUUUUUAGUAUUUUAUUUAUUUGUCUGAGAGAGAGAGAGAGAGAGAGAGAGAGAAUAUGAGCAGGGGGGUUGGCAGGGGAGGCAGAGGGAGAAGCAGACUGCCCGCUGAGCAAGGAGCCUGUUGUGGGACUAGAUCCCAGGACCUGGAGAGCAUGACCUGAGCUGAAGGCAGAUGUUCCACCAACUGAGACAUCCAGGCGCCCCCUCUCUUUUUUUUUUUUUUUAACUAUUAACUAGAUAUAGUUUUAUAUUUUCUGGAACAGGUGCUUUCGGAAUUUUAGGAACAGUAAGCUUGACCACACUAUCAAGGUAAUGAUAAUAAAAUAAUCAUACUUUAGUUUCUAUUUCCUUUUUUUUUUUUAAAGAUUUAUUUAUUUAUUUGACAGAGAUAGAGACAGCCAGUGAGAGAGGGAACACAAGCAGGGAGAGUGGGAGAGGAAGAAGCAGGCUCAUAGCGGAAGAGCCUGAUGUGGGGCUCGAUCCCACAAUGCUGGGAUCACGCCCUGAGCCGAAGGCAGACGCUUAACCACUGUGCCACCCAGGCGCCCCUAGUUUCUGUUUCUAAAUGGUUCUUAGAAAGGAGAGACUUCCUAUAACCAUGGGCACAGAGUAACCCUUGUGAUUAACUCCAAAGUAGAAGAUGCAGAGCCAAGCCUCAUAGACAGGACUAGUGAUAAAUUAGAUGAAGGUAGUCCCAGAAAUUGUUCUUCUGAUUGGCUGAAAGGCAACCCGAGAUAAUUCUUCUUUUUUUUUUUUUUUUAAAGAUUUUAUUUAUUUAUUUGACAGAGAUAGAGAGACAGCCAGCGAGAGAGGGAACACAAGCAGGGGGAGUGGGAGAGGAAGAAGCAGGCUCACAGCAGAGGAGCCUGACGUGGGGCUCGAUCCCAUAACGCCGGGAUCACGCCCUGAGCCGAAGACAGACGCUUAACCGCUGUGCCACCCAGGUGCCCCCGAGAUAAUUAUUCUUACUCUCAUUACCUUUCAAUGUCUUGCCUCCUCCUGGAAGCAUUUGCCCAGGCAUUGGAAGAGUCUGGUGAUUUUUUUGACACUCGGCCCUGCUACAUUCCAUCUUCACUCGCCUGCCCCCUGCAUUUAAUGUGUUCAUGUAAUGCAUUAUUGUACCUCACAUACCUCACAUUUGGGCCUUUGUUCCAUCACCGUCUCUUCGGGAUCAUCCCAAAUGCAUUCAUGCUGUAUUAUACUUUUAGGUACUUUGCAAUUUGCAAAUCUUAUUCCCAUUUCAUUAUUUCAAUUAACUGGGCAUAGUGCCUUGUCACUGUAAUGCACUUUGUACAAUGUCUCUUUUAGAAGUAAAGAAUGGACGUAAGAGCAGGUCCCUUGAGAAAAAUAAGAGCUAUCAAAAUUUUGACUCCUGUUUUUAUUUUUUAAUUUUUUGAUUUUUUAAAAAGAUUUUAUUUAUUUGUUUGAGAGAGAGAAAGCAAGACAGAUCACAGAGGGAGAGGGAGAAGCAGACUUGCUGAUGCCUGAGAGGAGAGCUGGAUGCAGGGCUCGAUCCCAGGACCCUGAGGUCAUGACCUGAGCCGAAGGCAGCCGCUUAUCUGACUGAGCCAACCAGGCACCCCACUGACCCCCGUUUUUAAAUCCCAGUGUUUAAGUAUUGAUUUGUGAAAUGUGACCCAUCACCGAGAAUACAGACAAAUAACCCCAACAGCUCUAGCUAUCCUAUCCGGUUGGAAUGUAUCCAGUGUUAACAUGUUUAUUUUAAUUCUUGAAUUAAGUGUAGGUGAUAGUUUUUAUAUCCCAU